rnacentral:rRNA from 1 species
GUGGGGAAUCUUGCGCAAUGGGCGAAAGCCUGACGCAGCCAUGCCGCGUGAAUGAUGAAGGUCUUAGGAUUGUAAGAUUCUUUCACCGGGGACGAUAAUGACGGUACCCGGAGAAGAAGCUCCGGCUAACUUCGUGCCAGCAGCCGCGGUAAUACGAAGGGGGCUAGCGUUGCUCGGAAUUACUGGGCGUAAAGGGCGCGUAGGCGGACAGCUUAGUCAGAGGUGAAAGCCCAGGGCUCAACCUUGGAAUUGCCUUUGAUACUGGCUGUCUUGAGUUUGGGAGAGGUGAGUGGAACUCCGAGUGUAGAGGUGAAAUUCGUAGAUAUUCGGAAGAACACCAGUGGCGAAGGCGACUCACUGGCCCAAUACUGACGCUGAGGCGCGAAAGCGUGGGGAGCAAACAGGAUUAGAAACCCGGGUAGUCC